CCUACGGGGGGCAGCAGUGGGGAAUAUUGCACAAUGGGGGAAACCCUGAUGCAGCGACGCCGCGUGAGUGAAGAAGUAUUUCGGUAUGUAAAGCUCUAUUAGCAGGGAAGAAAAUGACGGUACCUGAAUAAGAAGCCCCGGCUAACUACGUGCCAGCAGCCGCGGUAAUACGUAGGGGGCAAGCGUUAUCCGGAGUUACUGGGUGUAAAGGGAGCGUAGACGGCAGCACAAGUCUGGAGUGAAAUGCCGGGGCUUAACCCCGGAACUGCCUUGAAGACUGUGCAGCUAGAGUGCAGGAGAGGUAAGUGGAAUGCCUGGUGUAGCGGUGAAAUGCGUAGAUAUUAGGAAGAACACCAGUGGCGAAGGCAGCUUACUGAACUAUAUCUGACGUUGAGGCUCGAAAGCGUGGGGAGCAAACAGGAUUAGAUACCCGAGUAGUC
rnacentral:rRNA from 1 species